CCUACGGGGGGCAGCAGUGGGGAAUAUUGCACAAUGGGGGAAACCCUGAUGCAGCGACGCCGCGUGAGCGAUGAAGUAUUUCGGUAUGUAAAGCUCUAUCAGCAGGGAAGAAAAUGACGGUACCUGACUAAGAAGCCCCGGCUAACUACGGCCCAGCAGCCGCGGUCAUACGGAGGGGGCAAGCGUUAUCCGGAUGUACUGGGUGUAAAGGGAGCGUAGACGGUUCUGCAAGUCAGAGGUGAAAGCCCGGGGCUCAACCCCGGGACUGCAUUUGAAACUGGAAGGCUAGAGUGUGGGAGAGGCAGGCGGAAUUCCUGGUGUAGCGGUGAAAUGCGUAGAUAUCAGGAGGAACACCAGUGGCGAAGGCGGCCUGCUGGACGAUGACUGACGUUGAGGCUCGAAAGCGUGGGGAGCAAACAGGAUUAGAUACCCUGGUAGUC
rnacentral:rRNA from 1 species